CACGACCUGAGCCAAAACCAGGAGUUGGAUGCUUAACCAGGUGUGAUGGAGCCCCCAUUUCCCUCUGUAUCUGGAUAUUUUGUGGCCCUUCUUUGCUUCCAGAUAGUAGUACUGGCUUCAGAAAGAGCAUCAAAAAAACCUGUGGCCAUAUUUAAUCCACCCCAAAUGGACACUGAGAAAAGCAACUGGAAUAUUCGAUAAGUGAAGACCGAUUAUUGUUCAGCAUAGCAGUCCACACGCUGCCUCUGGACAGUGGUCCCUUCGUUAAGUAUGGACAGAGCGUCUACUACGUUCUGGCACUAUCAUCCCUGGAGACGAUAAUGAGAAUUUUUAAAAGGGAAUAAAACAGAGACUCUGCAUGGCUCACGUGUUAGUGGGCCAUGAGAGGACAUAAGGACAGGAAUUAAAAAUAUCAGUCGGGGUGCCUGGGUGGCUCAGUCAGUUGGGCGUCCAACUUCAGCUCAGGUCAUGUUCUCGCAG